GAGAUUACCUGGCAGGGAAGAGACAAUGAUCACAAAAGUUGUUCUUCCAAGACGAGGCUAUCCCAUUGCACUUUUGGUGUGCUGACACCUGCGAUAUCCCCAAAUGCGGGAUACUCAGCUGCAAAAUUUAUGGUAGUGGGUGAUUGCGAUCGUGCUCAAAAAAACCCAU